rnacentral:lncRNA from 1 species
AAGAAUUCAACACGGUCUGAACUAGAGGAAAGAUAUAAGGAUUAGGGGGGCCCACUUGCAGUAAGCAAGGGGUUCUUCUCCCAGAAUCCUCCUCUUUUUGGCCUUUUAACUGUUUUUCUUUUUUUCCUUUUCUAAGUGAGAGGGCUCCCCCAUCCCAGUAGUUUCUGAUAGGGAAGUUAACGGAGGAGCGACCCCUGCUGGCUGAGAACUGCAAAUUCAGCAGGGCACAUCUGAGACACUCUGAACAGAUACAAACAGCCUCUAAACCAACUUUUCAAUCCCAAAUUCGAUUCCAGGCUUCAGGCUGAGGCCCUAGAGAGAAAAACCAGGUCCGAGGGAUCCAAAGCCAGGCAACAGGCACAAUGUAAAUGGGCAGAACCAAUUCCUGACGAGUGAACCCCCCACCACAUAGAAGGAGGCCAUGUUCCAUGGCACAAACAGGCCCAGGGAACUCAGUUUGCUGACAGCAGGAAGAAAGGGAGGGAGAAAGGGAGGUGUAGAUGAGAGCAGUUAAUUCCUAUUCUCCAGGUUUUCCCUGCUUCAUGGGUACAUACCGCAUUGGUACCCAUGGCUGGCACCUGACAAGGUCACCAGGGCUCAGGGACAAGAGGUGGAGGGUGCAGGGAGGAUACUCGCUUUCUCUCUCCAUCACACUCUGAGUAUUCGCUGAAAGAAGGAAGGGAGUAGGGGACGCCUUUUUUCCCUGUCUUUCAGAAUGGGCAACCAGUUCUCUUCACCACCCCCAGCUUAUACUCUUCUGGAGUAUAAUGUAUUCUGAACCAUUGGGAUUGCUUUGACCCUCAGCAUCUGAAGGAAAAGCACCUCAUAGCCCUCUGCACAAAGGAAGAGGUCCAAAGAGUUUUGAGAUUCUCAGAUGGUCAGUGGCCCCCAGAAGUUUAAGAUCCAUUUAAGGAGACUUUGAGGAGGGGGUUGCUCAGUGCGAGGGUCCAGGGACAAAUGUACCCAAAGCACACAGAGCCAAGAUCUUGGGUGGCUUAUAGGUGGGAGAGGCUCUCCCCAAUCUUCAACAGAGACCAGCUCCUCUUCCCACUGAGCUCAAUACCAGCCUUUGCGGGGUCCCUUUAGAAUCCUGCAACAAAUGGAGCCGGGGGCGGUGACACCUCCUCCCGCCUGCUUCUUUGAUAAUUGAGGGAACCUCAUGUUGAGAUCUCACACUUGUCAUCAUUUGAUAAAAAGCUAGGUUUAACUGGCCACUGACACAGAUGAUUUGGGGGGAAAUUAUAUAUUUUUGGGAGGGGGCGCUGCUGAAAUCCACAGGCUUCAUACAAUUCCAAACAAAGCCCCACAUAUCACUUCAAUUACCACCAAACAUUUCCAGUUCCCCUCCCCCAACAUAAACUAACACAAGCAAACACUUCGAAGUAGGGGUUCUAACUUAACUUUCUCCCUUGUCCGGAAGACAGCCAACAAAGGGUGGUAAGGCACCAUUUCUCCCAUCACCAUUUAGCUAAGAAAGCAAGGUCCAGGGCUGGGAGCACUCUUCUCUGCCCCACCCCCAGCCAAGUAGGUAAGGGAGAGAGGGGAGGAGGAGGUGUGGUUUGGUUAAACUAAUAAAAUGUUACAACCCUGUUAAAUACAAUUAAAAGGAUAGAUCUCUCAAAGAUAAUUAAAUGCACUUUAUUAUUAUGAUUAUUAGCUUUUAAUUUACACUGUUAAGAAAUGGAAGAUGGCGAAAACUGAGUUAUGUGGCAUACUUGUAUUCAAACUAAUCCUUUGGAAUUAAAAUUCUAAAAUAUUCCAAAUAGUUGAGGGAAAUAAUAUGUGUUGGAAACUGGAGUUCUCACACCAGCAAAGAUACUUUUAGACAUCACUUCUCAGGAAGUUAACUUAAGAGAAGUCUUGACAGGCCAGGCACUGUGGCUCACUCCUGUAAUCCCAGCACUUUAGGAGGCCGAGGCAGGCAGAUAACGAGGUCAGGAGUUCGAGACCAGCCUGGCCAAUAUGGUGAAACCCUGUGUCUACUAAAAAUACAAAAAUUAGCAAGGAGUGGUGGCGUGCGCCUGUAGUCCCAGCUACUUGGGAGGCUGAGGCAGGAGAAACGCUGCAGUGGAGGUUGCAGUGAGCCAAGAUCGCACCACUGCACUCCAGCCUGGGCGACAGAGCAAGACUCCGUCUCAAAAAAAGAAAAGUCUUGACUUUAUUUGUAGGGGCUCAGGGGAAGAUAAGAAACAUCUGCUUUAAACAUCCUAUCAAUCUUGUGAUAUAGAAUGUAAUGUAAACACUCAACCCACCCCCACAGCCACAAAGGGCCUAUCCAGAGACUUCUUCUAAAGCAAAGAUACCACCUUUUUUUUUUUUUUCAUUUUUUUCUGGACAAAUUUUAAAUAAACCAGUCUUUUUCUCAAAGGAAAACUAAAAAGCCCACCAGCCCAUCAGUCCCCUCCCUCCAACCCACCCGUCUUUAUCACUUUUUGAAAAAAAUAAGCCCCAAACAACAACAAAAACCCACACAAACCAACCCAGAAACUGCUAACCUGAACGCCAGAGAUUUUUGGCUGCGGGAGUGAAUAGACUGCAGGGAAAGAAGGGAAGAGAUGCUAGGAGGUCUCAAACUCCCCAGAUUUGCAAACAAGUGCUCAAAGGCGAAUGCUUCCCCUAGACAUGAAGGGAGGGGAAUGGGCCAGGGGGUGGAAGCCAUUCCUCACCGGAUCUCUGCCCUCUCCCCACCAGCACACCCCGACCCCGAUUUUUUUUUCCACGUCUUCAUCUCUGUUGGGACUUUUCCAAGAGUGAGUGAAGAAGACAGGACAAAUGAGUAGGGAAAGAAAAGGGGGAAGGAAACAAAACGAAUCCAAGUCCUGUUCAAAAAUAUCCAACGGCUUCCACAGGCCCAGCGUCAGAGAGGAGGCUCACAAAUUUGGCUUUUAUAUUAGUUGAAUGGAACAAACUCCUAACGACUCAAAGCCAACAAAAACAGCGCUCAGGCUGGGUGCCUCUCCCAUCAGGCCCAGCCCUGCCAUAUCACCAAAAAACUCCAAAAGUGGGGCGGGUUUUGAAGGGCACUUAAGAAAGAGAACCCUCCCCCCAACUACACUCCCCAACACACACACACCUCAUUCUUCAGUCCUGGCGCCCACACCCCUGUUUUUUUUUCUCCUUUUUUCUUUUAAAUAGAAAAUAUAUAUAAUUAAAUUUACAAAGACUAUUUACAGUUUUAAUUACAAACCUUGUGGGGGUGUUGGGCAGAGAGUUCUCUUUUAAAAAGCAACCUAAAAGUGAAAUGGUUUCGAUCGUUUUUUAUUUAAAAAAAUAAAAUACGGAGUCUGUAGGGGCCCCACCCCGG